rnacentral:rRNA from 1 species
GAAUAUUGGACAAUGGGGGGAACCCUGAUCCAGCCAUGCCGCGUGUGUGAAGAAGGCCUGUUGGUUGGAAAGCACUUUAAGCGAGGAGGAGGCUCCUCUAGUUAAUACCUUGAGGUAGUGGGAGUUAGUCGCAGAAUAUGCCCCGGCUCACUCUGUGCCAGCAGCCGCGGUAAUACAGAGGGUGCAAGCGUUAAUCGGAUUUACUGGGCGUAAAGCGCGCGUAGGUGGCCAAUUAAGUCAAAUGUGAAAUCCCCGAGCUUAACUUGGGAAUUGCAUUCGAUACUGGUUGGCUAGAGUAUGGGAGAGGAUGGUAGAAUUCCAGGUGUAGCGGUGAAAUGCGUAGAGAUCUGGAGGAAUACCGAUGGCGAAGGCAGCCAUCUGGCCUAAUACUGACACUGAGGUGCGAAAGCAUGGGGAGCAAAC